rnacentral:snRNA from 1 species
AUACUUACCUGGCAGGGUAGAUACCAUGAUCACGAAGGUGAUUUUCCCAGGGCGAAGCUUAUCCAUUGCACUGUGCUGACCCCUGCGAUUUCCCCAAAUGCAGGAAACUCGACUGCAUAAUUUGUGGUAGUGGGGGACUGCGUUCGCGCUUUCA